rnacentral:rRNA from 1 species
UACGAAGGGUGCAAGCGUUAAUCGGAAUUACUGGGCGUAAAGGGCGCGUAGGCGGCGCGACAAGUCACUUGUGAAAUCUCUGGGCUCAACCCAGAACGGUCAAGUGAUACUGUCGUGCUAGAGUGCGGAAGGGGCAACUGGAAUUCUUGGUGUAGCGGUGAAAUGCGUAGAUAUCAAGAGGAACACCUGCGGCGAAGGCGGGUUGCUGGGCCGACACUGACGCUGAGGCGCGAAAGCUAGGGGAGCGAACGGG